AUUGAACGCUGGCGGCAUGCCUUACACAUGCAAGUCGAACGGUAACAGGUCUUCGGAUGCUGACGAGUGGCGAACGGGUGAGUAAUACAUCGGAACGUGCCUAGUAGUGGGGGAUAACUACUCGAAAGAGUGGCUAAUACCGCAUGAGAUCUACGGAUGAAAGCAGGGGAUCGCAAGACCUUGUGCUACUAGAGCGGCCGAUGGCAGAUUAGGUAGUUGGUGGGAUAAAAGCUUACCAAGCCGACGAUCUGUGGCUGGUCUGAGAGGACGAUCAGCCACACUGGGACUGAGACACGGCCCAGACUCCUACGGGAGGCAGCAGUGGGGAAUUUUGGACAAUGGGCGAAAGCCUGAUCCAGCAAUGCCGCGUGCAGGAUGAAGGCCUUCGGGUUGUAAACUGCUUUUGUACGGAACGAAAAGCCCUGGGUUAAUACCCUGGGGUCAUGACGGUACCGUAAGAAUAAGCACCGGCUAACUACGUGCCAGCAGCCGCCGCCG
rnacentral:rRNA from 1 species